rnacentral:rRNA from 1 species
UACAGAGGGGGCAAGCGCUGUUCGGAAUUACUGGGCGUAAAGGGCGCGUAGGCGGCCGCCUAAGUCAGACGUGAAAUCCCUCGGCUCAACCGGGGAACUGCGUCUGAUACUGGGUGGCUUGAAUUCGGGAGAGGGAUGCGGAAUUCCAGGUGUAGCGGUGAAAUGCGUAGAUAUCUGGAGGAACACCGGUGGCGAAGGCGGCAUCCUGGACCGAGAUUGACGCUGAGGCGCGAAAGCCAGGGGAGCAAACGGG